AUCACUCACUGUGGGGAAAGCUGGCUGCCCUGAUGUGAGAACACUCAACAAGUCCUAUGGGGAGACCCACAUGGUGAGGAACUGAGGCCACCUGCCAAUGGCAGUGUGAAGGUGCCAUCUUGAAAGUGGACCCUCCAGCCCCAGGCAAGCCUUCACAUAAGACUGCAGCCCCAGCUGAUAUCUUGACUGCCACCUCAUGAAAGACCAUGAACCACAGCCAUCCAGCUAUGCUGCUCCAAGUUCCUGACUCACAGAAACUAUGCCAUCUACUCAAAGAGAGGGACCUUAUUGUCUAGUUUGCUUACUGCCGUGUUCCCAGAACCCGGAAUGAUUCUUGCACAUACGUUUGAUGGAAGCAAGAAACAAAAUCGACUCUUCAGUUUUGAAAUACACAGGAAGACUGGCUUCCGUCUUGUGGCACUCUCUUGUUUUCUUGCCUGCUGGCCGCAUCGAAACAACGAUCGUGUGUGAGCUACCCUAAAGAGAAUCACACGUGGUGAUGAACUGACAGAGGCCUCCAGCCAAUAGCCAAUGAGGAACUGAGGCCCUCAGUGCCACAGCCCAUGAGGAACUGAUCCUGCCCCCACCACUGAUUUCACUUCGAAGUGGAUCCUGACCCGUUGGAAUCUUGAGAUGAGCCCACAGCUGUGGCCAACACCUUGGUUGCAGUCUGUGAGAGGCCGU